rnacentral:misc_RNA from 1 species
GAACUGCGAUAAGUAAUGUGAAUUGCAGAAUUCAGUGAAUCAUCGAGUCUUUGAACGCACAUUGCGCCCCCUGGCAUUCCGGGGGGCAUGGCUGUCCGAGCGUCAUUGCUGCCCUUCAAGCCCGGCUUGUGUGUUGGGUCGUCGUCCCCUCCGGGGGACGGGCCCGAAAGGCAGCGGCGGCACCGCGUCCGGUCCUCGAGCGUAUGGGGCUUUGUCACCCGCUCGAUAAGGACCGGCCGGGCGCCAGCCGGCGUCUCCAACCUUUUUUUCUCAGGUUGACCUCGGAUCAGGUAGGGAUACCCGCUGAACUUAAGC